rnacentral:rRNA from 1 species
UACGGGAAGCAGCAGUGAGGAAUUUUUCACAAUGGACGAAAGUCUGAUGGAGCAAUACCACGUGAACGAUGAAGGUCUUCUGAUUGUAAAGUUCUUUUAUUUAGGAAAAAAAGCGUGCUAGGAAAUGAGCGCGCCUUGAUGGUACUAAUUGAAUAAGUGACAGCUAACUAUGUGCCAGCAGCUGCGGUAAAACAUAGGUCACGAGCAUUAUCCGGAUUUAUUGGGCGUAAAGGAAGCGUAGGCGGGGAGGUUGAUCCAUUGUUAAAAGCAUUUGCUUAACAAAUGUGUGCAUUGGAGAUCGCCUCCCUAGAGUUAAUCAGGGGGUACUGGAAUUCAAUGUGUAGCGGUGGAAUGCGUAGAUAUAUUGAGGAACACCAGAGGCUAAGGCGAGUGCCUAGGAUAUAACUGACGCUGAGGCUUGAAAGCGUGGGGAGCAAAUGGGAUUAGAUACCCCAGUAGUCCACGCCGUAAACGAUGAGCAUUGGGCAUUUGACAUCUGGUCGAGUGCUGUAGCUAACGCGUUAAAUGCUCCGCCUGGGUAGUAUAUAUGCAAAUAUGAAACUCAAAGAAAUUGACGGGGACCUGAACAA